AGAAUUUUAGAAGAGAAAAUAAAAGAUCGUGGGCGGCAUGAAUACAAACGAAGAGAAAUCGAGCUUUUCAGUGCAGUGAGUGUACCAACAAAUUCGACUAGACCUCAACUCUAGUCAGUUUCCAGCACAUCAGGUUCCAUGGGGUUGAGGUUGAAGAUCCUAAUCGUCCACGUAACUAGUAGGUGUUCUCCAUCCGACGGUGUUGUGGUGAGUCCUCAUUGACCGGGG